AUUCCUGGGGCUGCCUGUGGUGUGGGUUUCCAAUCCAGUGCGUGUUACAGUUUCAGUGUAAAUCCGUUGUGAAGAUGUUUAGACAGUCACCCUUCUUAGGGCCAAGUUGUUUCACCGGAGUCAUAAUCUGCUUUCAGGGUUCCUAGCUGUGGCCCGAAGAAGGGUCUGGGAGCUAAAUGAAGAGGCAGUGCUACAUGGUGUUACACAGUGGUUCUUGAGUCAAACGGCCUACAAUCAGAUUCUGAAAUACAUUAAACACACACUUUCCUACUGAGCUUCCAAAAAUGGGACCUAGAAAACAGAAAAAUAUUAAAGUGGGGUACUAUCAUCUAAAUCUCCAAAAAGGUCAUUCAACUCUGAUUCCUGUUUAAAGAGAGAAAAAAGGAAUAAAGGAGCCUUUGAAGGCAGAAUAUUGCUCACUCAUCGCUUUGAAGGGACCUCAGACUGCAGAGCAGAAGAACCACUGGCUACAUCAGCUGGAGCAGAGGGGGAUGAAGAGAUCAUUAUGAUGCCUGCAAAAAAGUGGGCUCUGCAGAUUUCCAGUCACCUCCCUUCCCUUCAGAUCCAGAGCUCUCUCUGCCUGGGAUCUUCCAGAAUUCCAGAAUUUUUGUUCCACCUUCCAUUGCUCACUUCCAUGACCAUUACUAAGAUAUUCACAUGGAAUUCUGUGCAAACCCUUUUUUUCCUUUGGUGCCCUCUUUGUUUUACUUACUCUAUUGGGACUAAUGGCCAUCUGUCUUGGGGAUCCUUUGUCUUUUGUGACAAACCACUUUCAGCAGAUUUCCUUGAGGUUCAUUUGCUCAAGGGCCUUACAGUUUAUUGGAGGAAUACAGAGUAAGUUUCUAGAGAGCCUCUUGUGCCCUGCAAUAAGCUAGCGUGGAAGAUUAGGAUGCUAGUGUAUACUGCGUGUUUCCCAUGUAAUGGUAGAAAAGGAAUGGGGUUCAUGAGUUACUUUAAGGUGGCAGCAGCUAUGCUGGAGAAGACUGCAUUGCUUGUACUGAUUCAAAGGAGCAUCUAAUUCAGGGAAAAAGCAGUCAUAAGCUAAGGCUUGGGCUGACUGAUUCCUUGAAUCAGCCAUGGAUAUCAUUCUUUAGGCACUGUGCACAUAUCACUGAUCAGAGCACUUCUCUUAAGCCUCAACAGCGCUCACUUCCCCCGUCUUGAUGAGGUGAGCAGCACAUUUAAUUUCAGCCCCCGGGGUCAUCUACAAACCUCGACUCCAUUUCUCAGCUGUGUUUGCUCCUCUGUUCUCAGGGAGCAGGAUUUUCACUGGAUACAAACUGUGAGGUGCCGUCUGGGCAAGCAGAUUGGUUACUAAUGAGGAAACUGGCACUGACAGCUUUUUGGGUUCUGAUAGGAGAAAAGAGAUAUCUUCACAUCAGAAUGGUUCAAGUUUCAGUGUGGCAUAUCAACUGAUUGAAAUUAGGGAGAGAGAGAAAGAGAAAUUUAAUUGUCAGGCUGUGGUGCAUAGUGUCAAAGCUAUUUAGAUUAUGAGAAAUACGUCUUUUCAACAGCUUAAAGGCCACAGCUCUCAAAAUUUUUCUGGUAUGUACAACACAGACAGGAUCCAGAAAUCCAAGCAUAACUCAUGGUUUCAUCAAAUAUUCAGCAGAGAAAACUGAAGUAUUUGAUUGUAGUAUUAACUAUGAAGUGUUCCCUAUUAGUCAUAUGAUUCUAUUAACUCAGCUCACUCCUGUUAGAUUUAUAGAAACAUCAGAGAUAAUUGGAAUUAGAAGGGCCCGGAGACAUGAUCCAAUCCCACAUGGAGAUAAGCAAGGCCCCUGGUCUCACUGGAGAAGUUUUAAAAAAAUUAAACAACAAAAAAAUGGAGGCCCAGAGGGAUGAAGUAACUUGACUAAUGUAUUCCAUCAGUGACAGACUCCAUCUGGGCCUGGAGCUCCAUCUCAACUCUCAGCCCACUAAGGACCCUGUUCAUGGUGCCAUACUAGGAACCCACUUUCUGUGGGAGUCUUUGAGAGUCAGAAUGACUUAUUUACUGAGAUAUACAUGUCUAGGAUAAGGACAAUUGAGGGGAUAAUAAGGAAAGAAAUAAUGUAAGUCAAAUAUAUUUUGCCACAUGCCCUCCUCUCUCCAUGAAUCCAGGACAUUCAACCAUAUCCAGCAUCCAUUGUAGGACUAAAACUUGGACACCAAGGACUUCUAAGGAGCCUGCAACAAUCUGAAAUGACUGUGGGGAAGCUAGCCAUGCUCCGAGCCAUUCUUGGAAUAUUGGGUCCUAGGGGUACUGAGGAGCAUUUAUAAAUUUAAGCCCAGGUAUUCAAUUCUUCAUGGGACCCCCAAUGCUACCCCAAGUUUCUGCCUUGAUUCCAAAAUACUCAAGAGAGUCAAAAUGUCCUAUUUUCUCCCUGAAGUUCUUCUAAUGUUGGAAGACCUAGGUUGGAGACAAACCUUUCAGAGAGUUUCUGCUUGGAUUUAAAUGUAUGUCUAGCUGACUUUAGGAGACUGUAAUAUUUACCUUAAUAAGUUGCCUUUCCCAUGGCGUUGCUUAUCCUCAGAAGACCCCCAUAGUGACUUCAGGAGACGAUUCUCAUAUCUUCUGAAUUGUGCAUGCUCAUAGUUUUGCUGAGCAGGGUUUGCACCUUGCAGCGAUGGAGGUGCAGGAAGUCACAGGCAACACUGUGUGCCACACAUAACACUGUGUGCCACACACAACAUUGUGGAUCAAGACACAGUUAAAUGGGCUGGCAAUUCUGAGUUUCCAAGUCCACUCUUGUGACUCGUACAGCUGUCAGAACUAGAAGGGCCAACCCUGGGAAUCUUGGAGAUGCUUUAGAAAUACAUGAGAUUUCAGGCAUCCAAGCUCUUCUAUUUGCUUACAUGUAUUCUCAAUACCUGUCUCCCAUUAUCUAAUGUAUUCCAAAAGCAUUUCUUCAACACUUGCUGUAGACUCUUGGAUAAAGCUGGUAAACAUGCUUUUGUUAAGCUCCAACUCUUGUGCCCACCACUUAUACACUAUGCACCACACCUCAGUUGCAUGCAAAAUACUAUUGUGUGUUAGGGUUCUUUCUUACAUAUUUUGAAAUAGUGGCUCAGAGAAGUUAGGAUUAACCUAACUUCAAAAGUCACAGCAAGCACAGAGCUGUGACUCAGCCCUGUCUUAUCUGGGGUUAGGAGUAGUUUCUCUUUAUCUGCCUAUUUUAACAGUGGACCCUCAACCACUGAAAUUGUUGACAGGAAAAAGGAUGUGGUUAUUUUACCAAUAAAAACCCCACCAAACCCGAAAUUUUUUGUUUGGUCAACAUUUUAAUUCAACUGUACUCAAUGUAUAACAAUGGUGAUUCGAUAUGAUAGAUGCAAUGGAUAAUCAAUGCAGUGCCAUUUAUAGACUACCUAGAAGUGCACUGUACAUCAUUUUGACAACAUAUUUACCUUCAUUGUUUGGUCAAAAUAAAAUUUAAAAUUAUUUUUUGUUUCCUAAGUUUAUAUCAAUUGAAAAAAACAGUCAUCUGGGUAGCAGACAGAAGUCAGGCUGACUACAUUGGGUCAUGCCCCUGAGGAUUCAAAUGUAGUCAAUGGCAACAACAUCAGCUACUAAAGCUGUCAGUGGAGAAAAGAAGAAAGCACAAGCCAGCCACUCUGCAGAACAAUGCAGUUCUUUCAGAGUCACAUAGUCCUAAACCUGGAAACCAUCACAGCCAAGAGGAUAAGCAUUGGAACUUGACAGUGGUCUAAAACUAGUCUCUGCCUGCCAUGGACAAACUACAAGCAUCUAGGAAGUGAGGUAAACCUGAGCUAAACCCCAUUUCCUUCUCUGCAAACGAGGGACGGGAGAGUGGAAUAACACCUCCCUCAUAGAAUUGUUGGGAGGCGUAAAUGCCCCUCAGCACAGGGAGGUGCUCAUAGAAGGUGCAUCAUAAGUAGCAGCUAUUUUGAUAAUUACUAAAUAUGAUGAAUGAUGAUAAGCAAAAUAAUAAUACAGCUUUUUGACAUUUUCACUCAGUAGGUUAAAUUUAUAUCAAGCAAGCGAAGCAGUUUCCAGAAUUAAACUUCUGAUGGGAGCUUAGACAGGUUGACCUUUGCAGCUCAUUGCAACCCUGAGUGAGGGCCUGUGACUUUACAAGCCUUUUAAGGGUUUGAGUGCUACUUCUAAGCAAGAUCCUGGUGUCAUGCUAUUCUUCAUUAGGUGGAACGAUAAUGAAUGGAUAAAUAAAAUAUAACUGGGAAAGGAGACCACAGAUUGAACACAUGCAUUUAUCUCCACUUCUGUCCAAAACCUCACAGUAAAAGAAUUUAAAAUACAUGAACCUAUAAGAAUAAGAGAGGGGAGAUAUGAUGAAAGAAAAACCCAAAUUUUUGGAAGUUGGAAAAAAAAAAAUGGAAGGUUGGGAACAUGCUUAGCCAACUAGGGACAGUAGAAAGCUGCAUGUCUGCAUACGGGACACCCUGGCAAGAGAGGAAAGCAAGGCAAUUUGGACGUGGAACCUUGGAAAGGGUUAGAAUAGGAAACAGAUCCAUGAGUCAUGACACCCCGGUUGAGAUUUUUGCUUUAGCCAUUCCAGCGCAUGCUUGUUUUUCACUAAAAGUCUUUACUCAUUUGUUUUCUCUCUUCUGCCCAGUGAACAUCUACUCAUUCUUCAAAACCCAGAACUGUUGUUGUUUCUUGAAAAAUGGAGAUUCCAAAGUUCUUUUAGCCUUUGCAAUGUGAAGGCAUGUGUCAGAGUUGGGAGGGGUCAGGAAACAGCACCUCUUUCUUUUAAUAUCCAGUUGAUUGAGGCCAAUGGGUCAUCCCAGCUCCUUCCUAAAUAUUCCUGAGAAUGCUCAGAGAGGGUGCACAUGUUCCCUAAGUCCAUUCUGGUUAUCAUGUGUGCCUUCAUGCUCUGCUCUGCUGCUCCCAGCUUCUUUGUGAUCUCUCCUGACUAAAGCUAGAACUUUUCGGCCUUCUUAAAGUCCAUUUUACUCGAAAGCAUGAAUACAAUACUUGUUCUUUAUUCUCCAGUGCUUACCAACACAAGAGUUAAUGCUAUUUAACAAAUUUUGCUAUGAAGGAAAGGAAAACCUAAAACAAGAUACCAUGUAUCACUGUUCCUGAAUUCUAUCAUCAUGUCCCUUUAAAGACAAUGCUCUUGGGUUCCCUCUCUCCUCUGGCCCCAGCCUCCUGCCACUGGAACAAGGGUCCAAGCUUCUUCAUGCAUGGAAGUUUUAUUCAUCUUAUCCCCCCCAAAUCUACAGCCAAAAGAAGGAAACACCCAUUGAUGACAUGAUAGACAAUACACCAGUUGACAAGAUAAUGAUACAGCGUGCCCAACCUGAAGAGAGAAUUUGUCACUGCUAGAGUAGUGAACCUUCUCCAGGUGAAGCAUCUGCUGUUGGAAACUUCCUUCUGUCCAGGGCUCCUGCAAGGCCAGUGAGUAGGUACUUCUAUCUACACAUGACUGAAAAAGACUCACCAAAACCAAUAUAUCCCUAAGGAUACAUUCUAAAUUCUACCCAAGGAGCAGAUGCUGCUUACAGUUCUCUAAAAAAAAAGUUUUUUUUUUUUUUUCAACCCUAGAUAUAUCAAGAAUGGGACACAGUCUCUGAGCAAGAAAUUGUUGGGAUCUGUCUUAAAAAUGCCUUUGGUUUCCCAUUACAUUUCCGAUUUCUCUAGACAGUAUUUGCAGCUCCCUUGUUGGUGUUCCCAUUAUUGUAAGUUUGUACAAACAGCAAUAAGACUAUAAGGCCCUUUUAAAGUCCAUUUUUAAAAAGGGGGGGGCCAAUCCUGGGAAUCUUCUAUAGCUCUUAUCACAGGGUACUUGGUUAUUUCUUAACGGACUGUCUAUCCUGUAAGCUGUGAGCUAUUUGAGGGCAAAGAAUAUUCUAUUCAUUUUUAUAUUCCUGGCACAUGGUAGGCACUCAGUAAUGCUGCUGCUGAAUUGAAUCAGCUGUGAGAAAAAAACAAAAUUCUUCUCCUCAGUCAGCAUUUGUUUUCUAGGAUCUACUCCAAUAUACUUCCAACAAAAGAUAUGGGAUUUAAAAGAUAGGCAGAGAGUGAAUUGAACUGAAUGUUGCACAAAAACACACUGUCUUUAAAGGUGGAAACGAAAUCUACCACCUUCUCAAGAUAGCUGCUCUGUCUCACAUCUUCUAGAAGCAAUGAAAUGAUGAGUGCUGUGAUCAGAGAGGACCCUCAGAAAAUAAAUAAAAAUCCAGCCCUACAAAUGCAGCCGUAAGCCAGGAGGAUAUGACGAAGGAUAUCAUUAUCAUCCUGAUAUUUUUAGAAGUUCUUUGGUGACAGGUCAGAUUUUUGAGAAUCAGAAAAUGAUAAAAAUAAUUUUGUUAUUCCACAAAGGAGGCUCUAUAUAUAUCAGGCCGAUUUUAAACACUGCCUGAGAAUGUUGAGAAAAUAUUUUUAAAUGUUAGUGAAAUGAUAGCCUUUGGGGACAGACCCAGCCUUGCUUUAGAAAAAGAUUUAUCUAAAGAUUUAUCUUUAGAAAAAGAUUUAUAUUAGAGAUUUUAGUGAUGUGGGCAUCACAAAGAAUCAGUGGUGAGUGGGUGUAGGUUUUUGUUUUCCAAUUUUCCAGAGGAGGGUCCACAUGGAAAAAUUUCAUGAAUUUGAAAAUUGCUUUUGAAGCUAUUACAGGUACCUGGGGAGUCCUCCUUGCCACCACCGGCUGACUACACUAUUCAGAUGUUAAGAGACCCUCGUAUUUCCUAAUCUCUAGGCUGCAGGAUUCUACAGAAUUUCUUUUGCAGCUUCCAUUUGUAGCUAUUGCCAAGUGGCCCCAUAGUUAUAUGGGAUGUGGGACUCUGGAUUUCAGGUAGAAAUGACCCUCUAUUUAUUUGAGAUGUUUGCUUCUUUAAAUACUCAGCCAUCUGACUCUCGAAUUGUUUAGGAUUAGUCAUAAGUUAAGUAGGACAGGGAAGAUGUUAUAAAUAGUUUAUUGCAUAUCCAUUCAAGAAAUUUAGGCUCAGUUAUAUAUUUUACCCAUGGAAAGGAGAAAACCUAUGUGUUUAUUUAAAGCAUUGUAGUUUUUUUCUUAUUUAGAAUAUAUGAGUCUAAUAUAAAAAUUGAUUUUAGAUGAUUUAUAUGUAACUGCUCGUUUCUUCAUACUUAUUUUGCUACCUUUUUAUUUCUUAUUUUUCUUAAGUAUGACUUUGAGUCUUUAAAGGUGUUUCCUUUAUGUCUCUUUGAAUAUUAAAACCAACAUGAAUUAAAAAUAGAAGUCUGCAUAUCAA